rfam:Physcomitrella patens subsp. patens PHYPAscaffold_168 genomic scaffold, whole genome shotgun sequence.
GUGUGAGAUGAGGAGUCAUAUUCCUUUUGGUUUGACUGCCGCAAUGAUGGCAUCUUAUUGCUUCAAACUUUCUGAUCAUUU